rnacentral:rRNA from 1 species
UGAAAUCUGGCCCUCGGGUCCGAGUUGUAAUUUGUAGAGGAUGCUUUUGGUGAGGUGCCUUCCGAGUUCCCUGGAACGGGACGCCAUAGAGGGUGAGAGCCCCGUCUGGUUGGACACCGAGCCUCUGUAAAGCUCCUUCGACGAGUCGAGUAGUUUGGGAAUGCUGCUCUAAAUGGGAGGUAUAUGUCUUCUAAAGCUAAAUACCGGCCAGAGACCGAUAGCGCACAAGUAGAGUGAUCGAAAGAUGAAAAGCACUUUGAAAAGAGGGUUAAAUAGUACGUGAAAUUGUUGAAAGGGAAGCGCUUGUGACCAGACUUGAGCCCGGUUAAUCAUCCAGCCUUCUGGCUGGUGCACUUGGCCGGCUCAGGCCAGCAUCAGUUCGGCGCGGGGGAUAAAGGCUUCGGGAAUGUGGCUCCUCCGGGAGUGUU